rnacentral:rRNA from 1 species
AACGAACGCUGGCGGCAGGCUUAACACAUGCAAGUCGAACGCCCCGCAAGGGGAGUGGCAGACGGGUGAGUAACGCGUGGGAAUCUACCCUGAUCUGCGGGAUAGCUCCGGGAAACUGGAAUUAAUACCGCAUAUGUCCUGAGGGACAAAGAUUUAUCGGUUCAGGAUGAGCCCGCGUCCGAUUAGCUAGUUGGUGGGGUAAAGGCCUACCAAGGCGACGAUCGGUAGCUGGUCUAAGAGGAUGAUCAGCCACAUUGGGACUGAGACACGGCCGAAACUCCUACGGGAGGCAGCAGUGGGGAAUAUUGGACAAUGGGCGCGAGCCUGAUCCAGCCAUGCCGCGUGAGUGAUGAAGGUCUUAGGAUUGUAAAGCUCUUUCACCGGGGACGAUAAUGACGGUACCCGGAGAAGAAGCCCCGGCUAACUUCGUGCCAGCCGCCGCAGUAACAC